CAGGAACACGAACAGUUCCAGAGGGUGACUUCAUUAAAUAAUGUAAUUGACAUGUGUCAAUGGAUCCCAGCAUGAGUGCCUGAAAUAAGACACAAGAUUGACGUAUGUCAGUGUGAUGACUCCAAAGGUAGAAGGACAUGUAUAGUACACAUGCAGUUAUCUGGCAUUGGUGUGGACUUUAACAAGGCACCUACGGCCAUGAAGGCUGAUAUCUGUCAUUGAUCGGGUUCACACCAAUAGGAACAUCAUUAUUUUGUCAUAAGAACCUCCUUUCAACAAAUCCGUCUUCUCAUUUCCUGUAAACUGCAGCGGCGAAUACACCAGUGUGUCCCUCAACAGCUACAGAAGCAAGUCGCGCAGGUCCAGAAUUAUUGUUCGGAAAGCUUCAUCGUACACUGCGUUCAUAUAAGUCCGACAACGACGAAUCGAUUAAGGCAACAGUGUAUGUUGUAACGUGACAAUCAACUGGGGAGAAAAAAGAAGAUCAAUUAUAUCCUACUCAAAUAAUUAGACGUCCCGUGGGGCGUGAGAAAGAUCAAGCUUGCGGUCCAAGAUGAUGUAAAUUGAUAACGGGGCAUGUGUCGUGUGAUGUCGGCCAAGUGUCUUCUUUUUCUUGUGCUUGGCAUCGGUCUGCAAGGAAAUAGGUCGGAAACAACUGGGUUUCUUAAUGUAGUUUUGUUUGAGAGUGAGAACGAGCACGGCACCAGCGUGCAAUGCCUGGAAUCCGCACUUUUCACAUGGACGUGUCAAGAAUGGAAGAUUGUAUCUACUAAAAUAGAUGUCAGACAUCCAUUUUCGUUGAUUUCCACGCAGGUGUCAGCUAUGAUGGAGAAAGCCUACGCAAUCCUUACCCCGUCAUCCAUGUGCAGCUUUUUGCAUUAUCAGAUGAGGCAUUUC